CAUCCCUGCAUGCAAACCCUGGCAUCGCCUUUUGGACCGUGCGCAGCGGGUAAUGCACAACUGAUUUACCAUUAGCACUGAAUUACGGAUUAACUUGGCCCUGGAGAAAACAAACGUGUCAAGAAAGAGCAACAGCAGCACUAAAAUUAAUGAGCAAGAGAGCCAUUGCUGUAAUUCAUACUCCACGAGGCUCUGCCUGCGGUGAAGGCCCUGCAGCAGUAUUUUCUGCGUGCAUCCCUGGUAACUACACAACCUGGAACCCAUGAAGGGUCUCCUCCCUCCUCCACCCCCUCGCAGCACCCCUUUCUUCCAGGAUGGAAAAAUUGCUGAAGACCAUUAAAAAAUUGACUUUUAAUCCA